AAAUGUUUGUGUGUGUCUAUCUCUCCCCUUUACUACACAUGCGCACCCUCCCCUCUGCAGGCUGCCCUGCCAGAGCCCCUCCUCUGCCUGGAAGAGCGGAGUCAAAAUAGUGAGCCCCUGCUUUGUGAAGGAAAUUUUCUUUCACUGCCUGGCUCAGAGGUGCCUUUGAGAGGAGAACUGAUGUGGUUUUGUCAGCUUGUGGGCUGAGGAGGUGAUUUUGAUGGCCAUGGGGCUGCACACCGUCAUUUUGCUCUGUGGUGUUGUGGCAGGAGCUUCAGGGAGAUCCUUGGAGAGUUUAAGUUACGGAGCUUCCUGUUUUGCAGACUGUGUAGGACACAGUGCAUCGUACUCCCCCAAAAGAGCUAGGUACAGCUACAAGUAUUCAGCAGUCACAAACACUUUCCUGCAGGGAAGUAUUUACAAAAGCAGUGGCAUCUCUCUGGAGAGCACAGUGAUCAUUGAGGUACUGGGGAAUUGCCAGAUGGUUUUGAAAGUGCAAGAUGUACAGAUUAAGAAAAGUUUUGCAUCCAGAGAGGAGCCUCUGAAGGAAAUGGACAGUCUAAGGAAAAUACUAGAACAGCAUCCUCUUCGUUUUUCUUUCCAUGAUGGGAAAGUUCUGAAGCUCUGUCCUGUGAGGAGUGAACAGACCUGGGCACUGAACAUAAAGCGAGGCAUUCUCAGUGUCCUGCAGACGUCACAAGCAUCCACUGCUAGUGCAGUCAUUGAAGAGGUGGAUGUUCUGGGAAUAUGCCCAACCAGGUAUCAGCGAAAAGGUCCUGUUCUUGUCAAGACAAGGGACUUAAACCUCUGCUCUCAUCGGUAUUCUGGUUUUACUUCUGUGCAGUCUGUUGUUCUACCUCAUAUGUCAUCUGAGCAGCAGAUCCUGUCCUCCACACUGGAAUGUGUUCAGAGCAUUAAGGCUGGAGUCCUGGCAGAGGCCAAAUGUGCUGAGUCCAAUGUUGUUACAGUGUUCUCUCAGAAGGGCAGUGAGGCAAAGACGCAGACACAGUGUUUGCUGAAACUCCUACAAGUGGAAACAGAGACACUGUACAAAAAAGUGGACUCCGAGGAUCUGUAUGUGACCAGCAUGCUCUAUGAAAGGGAAGAAACUGAGAGGGAAGUCACUGGAGGAGAACUGACUGAACUAGUGUGGAAACUUUGCUUAGCACAUAGUGUGAGUUUUGAGACUGCAGAUCUUUUCCUGACUCUCGUGUUUGAGCUUCGACGUCUUUCUCUUGAGGCCUUAAAAGCGCUAUGGCAAAGAUCUUCAUUUAAAUGCAGAGACAACUGGUAAGGGCCCUUUAGGAAUUGCAUUAAAAAUAUAUAUAGAGAGGAAAGAAAUGUAAGUAUUUAAA
rnacentral:lncRNA from 1 species